rnacentral:rRNA from 1 species
UACGUAGGGUGCGAGCGUUGUCCGGAAUUACUGGGCGUAAAGAGCUCGUAGGUGGUUUGUCGCGUUGUUCGUGAAAACCGGGGGCUUAACCCUUCGGCGUGCGGGCGAUACGGGCAGACUUGAGUACUGCAGGGGAGACUGGAAUUCCUGGUGUAGCGGUGGAAUGCGCAGAUAUCAGGAGGAACACCGGUGGCGAAGGCGGGUCUCUGGGCAGUAACUGACGCUGAGGAGCGAAAGCGUGGGGAGCGAACAGG